AUUGAACGCUAGCGGGAUGCUUUACACAUGCAAGUCGAGCGGCAGCGCGGACUUCUGUCUGGCGUCGAGUUGCCAACGGGUGAGUAAUGUAUCCGAACGUGCCCAGUAUCUGGGGAUAACUACGCUAAAGCGUAGCUAAUACCGCAUACGCCCUACUGUGGAAAGGAAUGGAUCGUAAGACCUUGCACUAUUGGAGCGGCCGUUAUCGGAUUAGCUAGUUGGUUAGGUAACGGCUCACCAAGGCGACGAUCCGUAGCUGGUUUGAGAGGACGACCAGCCACACUGGAACUGAGACACGGCCCAGACUCCUACGGGAGGCAGCAGUGGGGAAUUUUGGACAAUGGGGGCAACCCUGAUCCAGCCAUGCCGCGUGUGCGAUGAAGGCCUUCGGGUUGUAAAGCACUUUUGGCAGGAAAGAAACGACGCGGGCUAAUACCCCGAGGAACUGACGGUACCUGCAGAAUAAGCACCGGCUAACUACGUG
rnacentral:rRNA from 1 species